rnacentral:rRNA from 1 species
ACACAUGCAGUCGAGCGGUAAGGCUCCUUCGGGAGUACACGAGCGGCGAACGGGUGAGUAACACGUGAGCAAUCUGCCCUCCACACUGGGAUAACUCCCGGAAACGGGUGCUAAUACCGGAUACGACCACUUCAGGCAUCUGAUGGUGGUGGAAAGUUCCGGCGGUGGAGGAUGAGCUCGCGGCCUAUCAGCUUGUUGGUGAGGUAAUGGCUCACCAAGGCUUCGACGGGUAGCCGGCCUGAGAGGGUGACCGGCCACACUGGGACUGAGACACGGCCCAGACUCCUACGGGAGGCAGCAGUGGGGAAUAUUGGACAAUGGGCGAAAGCCUGAUCCAGCAACGCCGCGUGAGGGACGACGGCCUUCGGGUUGUAAACCUCUUUCAGCAGGGACGAAGCGCAAGUGACGGUACCUGCAGAAGAAGCACCGGCCAACUACGUGCCAGCAGCCGCGGUAAUACGUAGGGUGCGAGCGUUGUCCGGAAUUAUUGGGCGUAAAGGGCUCGUAGGCGGUCUGUCGCGUCGGGAGUGAAAACUCAGGGCUUAACCCUGAGCCUGCUUUCGAUACGGGCAGACUAGAGGUAUGCAGGGGAGAACGGAACUCCUGGUGUAGCGGUGAAAUGCGCAGAUAUCAGGAAGAACACCGGUGGCGAAGGCGGUUCUCUGGGCAUUACCUGACGCUGAGGAGCGAAAGUGUGGGGAGCGAACAGGAUUAGAUACCCUGGUAGUCCACACCGUAAACGUUGGGCGCUAGGUGUGGGACUCAUUCCACGAGUUCCGUGCCGCAGCUAACGCAUUAAGC